rnacentral:RNase_P_RNA from 1 species
AAAGCAUAGUAAAUGCUCGCUUCUUUAAAAAAAGAAGAGGAAAGUCCGAGCUGCAAAAGACAAACAUUCCAUCUAACAGAUGGCUAGGGCGACCUAAGGGACAGUGCAACAGAAAGAAAACUACCACAAAAGUGGAAAAGGUGAAACGGUGAGGUAAAAGCUUACCAGCGAUUUUGGCAACAAUUUCGGCUAUGUAAACCCA